rnacentral:rRNA from 1 species
GAUGAACGCUGGCGGCGUGCUUAACACAUGCAAGUCGAACGGCAGCACGGGGACCGCGCUGUUCUCGAGUUGCGAACGGGUGAGUAAUACAUCCGAACAUUCCCUUUCUUUAUGGAUAACGUAGCUAAAGUUACGCUGAUACCGCAUACGAUCUUAUUAUGAAAGGGGGGGUCCUUCGGUGCUCGCGCGUUUGGAUCUGCCGUUGUGAGGUAUCCACGUUGGAUUAGUUAGUUGGUAAGGUAACGGCUUACCAAGGCUACGAUGCAUAGCCGACCUGAGAGGGUGAUCAGCCACACUGGGACUGAGACACGGCCCAGACUCCUACGGGAGGCAGCAGUGGGGAAUCUUGGACAAUGGGCGAAAGCCUGACCGAGCAACGCCGCGUGAAGGAAGAAGGCCUUCGGGUCGUAAACCGCUGUUGUUAGGAAAGAACAGGUUCUGGCUAAACCCUGCGGCUCAUGACGGUACCGAAUGAAUAAGCACCGGCUAACUACGUG